GGAUAACGGGUGGAAACAUCCGCUAAUACCGGAUAGACUUGUUCGGUCAAAGGGACAAGGAAAGGCUCCGGCGCUCUGGGAGGAGCCUGCGGCCCAUCAGCUAGUUGGCGGGGUAACGGCCCACCAAGGCAAAGACGGGUAGGGGGUGUGAGAGCAUGGCCCCCCACAAUGGGACUGGAACACGGCCCAUACUCCUACGGGAGGCAGCAGCAGGGAAUAUUGCACAAUGGACGGAAGUCUGAUGCAGCGACGCCGCGUGGAUGAAGAAGGCCCUCGGGUUGUAAAAUCCUUUACAAGGGGAAGAGGAAGGACGGUACCCCUGGAACAAGUGUCGGCUAACUACGUGCCAGCAGCCGCGGUAAGACGUAGGACACAAGCGUUAUCCGGAUUUACUGGGCGUAAAGCGUCUGCAGGCGGACAGGUAAGUUGGGCGUGAAAGCUCCGGGCCCAACCCGGAGAGGUCGUUCAAUACUGCGCGUCUAGAGGGUGUCAGAGGGGAGUGGAAUUUCCGGGGUAGCGGUAAAAUGCGCAGAGAUCGGAAAGAACACCAAUGGCGAAGGCAGCUCCCUGGGGCAACCCUGACGCUAAGAGACGAAAGCUAGGGGAGCGAACAGGAUUAGAGACCCUGGUAGUCCUAGCCCUAAACGAUGGAUGCUGGAUGUGGGGCCAUAGCGCUCCGUGUCGAAGCGAACGCGUUAAGCAUCCCGCCUGGGGACUACGGCCGCAAGGUUAAAACUCAAACGAAUUGACGGGACCCCGCACAAGCAGCGGAGCGUGUGGUUUAAUUCGAUGCUACACGAAGAACCUUACCUGGGUUUGACAUCUAGGUGGUAGUGAAGCGAAAGCGGAGCGACCCUUCGGGGAGCCUAGACAGGUGCUGCAUGGCUGUCGUCAGCUCGUACCGUGAGGUGUCGGGUUAAGUCCCGUAACGAGCGCAACCCUUGCCCUCCGUUAUACGUGUCAGAGGGGACUGCCGGCGGUAAGCCGGAGGAAGGUGGGGAUGACGUCAAGUCAGCAUGGCCUUUAUAUCCAGGGCUACACACACGCUACAAUGGCCAGUACAAAGGGCAGCGAAGCCGCGAGGUGG
rnacentral:rRNA from 1 species